AAAUUGAAGAGUUUGAUCAUGGCUCAGAUUGAACGCUGGCGGCAGGCCUAACACAUGCAAGUCGAACGGUAACAGGAAGCAGCUUGCUGCUUCGCUGACGAGUGGCGGACGGGUGAGUAAUGUCUGGGAAACUGCCUGAUGGAGGGGGAUAACUACUGGAAACGGUGGCUAAUACCGCAUAACGUCGCAAGACCAAAGAGGGGGACCUUCGGGCCUCUUGCCAUCAGAUGUGCCCAGAUGGGAUUAGCUUGUUGGUGAGGUAACGGCUCACCAAGGCGACGAUCCCUAGCUGGUCUGAGAGGAUGACCAGCCACACUGGAACUGAGACACGGUCCAGACUCCUACGGGAGGCAGCAGUGGGGAAUAUUGCACAAUGGGCGCAAGCCUGAUGCAGCCAUGCCGCGUGUAUGAAGAAGGCCUUCGGGUUGUAAAGUACUUUCAGCGGGGAGGAAGGUGUUGUGGUUAAUAACC
rnacentral:rRNA from 40 species